UGCUUAUCGAGAAAGACUGAGGGAAGGGCCCUGUGAAGUCUUAGCAACCUGAGAUCAAGGUGCUAACUCCCAUUCCGGAAAAGCCGGAAAAAGAUGAGCG
rfam:Indibacter alkaliphilus LW1 Indibacter_contig_41, whole genome shotgun sequence.